UUUUUGUGGUCCACGGAAGGAAACCCAGGCUCCUUUGUGUUUUAAGCCUUCAUUUGGCAUCCUGGUCCAGUGAGGAGGAAGAGGAUCAGCAUCAAACCCUGGACAGGGUCUCCCUGGCUGCCUUUCGAGUCGGUGAUGCCUUCAAGCCUUUAGGAAUGGAUUUCAAUUCAUAUGUUGAGCAGCUACCUGAUUGGGUUCUAUCUCCAGCCCUGCCUCCUGUGAGUACUUGAAGACAUGGAAGACAUGGUUGACAACCUUGGGGAAUUUACAAUCCUAUAUAAGAAAACAGCCAACAAAGGUCCAAGAUAUUUGGAUGUUUGUGAGGUGACUUCAGGAUCAUUUAUUAUUCUGUAACACGGGAAGGAUCAUAUCAGUGCCUACCUCGUGCGCGAGGUGGUGGCACGAGGGUUAAAAUGAAAUCAUACCUGACGAAAGGAACUUAGCACCAUGCCAGGCACACUAUGCGUACUUAAAAAUAUUAUCUGUGACAUCGUGAAUAUUAUAAUUAUUAUGCUACAUGGCACGUCUUUUUGUUGGCUUCAUCAGCCUGAGACUGAAAUAGUCAUAACAACAGAAAUGAAGAAAAUAUUUCCCUACCAUGAUCUGAAGAAUUGGGGACCCUCCUAGACCUGCAUAUGAGAAAUGAGGAUUCAGCAGUCACCCUUCAAUAUAGACAAUAUAAAAUCUAAACAAGAUAACCCAGGCCUUACAGAGGAAACAAAAGUGAGCUCUAUAAAACAUGAAGAAAUGGAAUAUGCAACAUAAACACAGAACAAACCUUGUUUCUCCAGAAACUGGUCUUCUUUAGCUAUGGGCGGUAAGUCUUGCUUCCUGGA